GAGUUUGAUCAUGGCUCAGAACGUACGCUGGCGGCACGCCUAACACAUGCAAGUCGAACGAAGUAGCAAUACUUAGUGGCAGACGGGUGAGUAACAUGUAGGUAUCUGCCCUUUGGCCUGGAAUAACACGAGGAAACUUGUGCUAAUACCGGAUAAGUCUUUACGGAGAAAGCUUUAUGCACCAUUGGAUGAGCCUGCACUUGAUUAGUUUGUUGGUGGGGUAAUGGCCUACCAAGACUGUGAUCAAUAGCUGAUUUGAGAGGAUGAUCAGCCACAUUGGGACUGAGACACGGCCCAAACUCCUACGGGAGGCAGCAGUGGGGAAUCUUGCACAAUGGAGGAAACUCUGAUGCAGCGAUGCCGCGUGAGUGAAGAAGGCCCUUGGGUUGUAAAGCUCUUUCGUCGGGGAAGAAAAUGACUGUACCCGAAUAAGAAGGUCCGGCUAACUUCGUGCCAGCAGCCGCGGUAAUACGAAGGGACCUAGCGUAGUUCGGAAUUACUGGGCUUAAAGAGUUCGUAGGUGGUUGAAAAAGUUAGUGGUGAAAUCCCAGAGCUUAACUCUGGAACUGCCAUUAAAACUUUUCAGCUAGAGUAUGAUAGAGGAAAGCAGAAUUUCUAGUGUAGAGGUGAAAUUCGUAGAUAUUAGAAAGAAUACCAAUUGCGAAGGCAGCUUUCUGGAUCAUUACUGACACUGAGGAACGAAAGCAUGGGUAGCGAAGAGGAUUAGAUACCCUCGUAGUCCAUGCCGUAAACGAUGUGUGUUAGACGUUGGAAAUUUAUUUUCAGUGUCGCAGGGAAACCGAUAAACACACCGCCUGGGGAGUACGACCGCAAGGUUAAAACUCAAAUGAAUUGACGGGGACC
rnacentral:rRNA from 1 species